CUUGUAGAUGCGCAUAAUAUGCUGCGACCCUAAUAAAACAGUAUUGAAUAAAUCAAAAUAACAAAAAGGUAACAAAUAGGUUGUUGUAACAUUUUAAGUUUAAACAUGUUUUUAAAAAAAGAGCUGUUCGCCAUCGAUCACCGGUGCAGUUGAACGCAGCAUUGCUGUAUGGCGCGCUCAAAAUGUAUUGUAGUUGAGGUGUCAACCUAGGCUACUGCUCAAAUAUAGUUGAAGUUGAAUCCACCGAAGCAAGUGCAUCAGGCUGUAAUUUCAUAAAGUAGAUGACUCAACUGUUGACUAAUACUUGCUUGUGUGUCCUAUUCGGCCUGCGGGCCUUGUGUGACACAUGUGCGCUAGCCUAUUAGCCAAGUUAUGACUGACUUCUGAUCAUUUCCCUUGGUAGUUUGAUUGUACUGACAUUCCCAGGCUAGUUACAGUCGUCCGUUAGUGUUCAAAAUAUUGAGUCAUUGAAACUGAGUGGGUGGAGGCAGCAAACUAUUUUAUAGGUGUGACUCAAUCCCCCUGCUCCAAAUGUGUAAUGACAACAGUCUGUAAAGACAGCUUACAGCACUCCAGUGGCCAGAGAGAAGACAGGAGACAGCCUGAAAUAGAAGCGCUCACAAAUAGACCCUUUUAGAGCCACAUAUGAGACCGGAGUCCGUGUCAAACUUUAACUGGGCACGUGGUGGUCUGGUCCUCAACCACAGAGCAUGAGGAUACAGCAGGGGAAAGCUGUGCAAUCCAGAACUUGUGGCAAUCUAGAACUUGUCAGCGAAGCAGAGGGGUUACACGUCUGCCCUUAUUGAGACCACUACUUCCAACGGACAGAAACAGGGCCCAAACCAAACCAUUUCAAAAAAUGGUCCAAGAGGAUCCACUUUGAGCUGAAAAUGUCUUCUGCCUUAGACUUUAGUGCUGCUUUUUAUGAAUCAAGCAAGCUAACAUGAUCUUUGCUAAAUGUUUUCCAGCCUUGACUGGUUUGAGUUCUGAACAUUGGCUAGGCCUCCUCGGGACAUUAAACAGAGUGGCAGCUUGACAGGUUUCUGCGGGUGGAGCUUUUCAACGUUAGUUGAAUUUCCAAUGUGUUAUCACUAUGCGUUCAACCAUCAAAAAGCACAACAAUGGAAAAACAAUGUUUGAUUUUUGGUGUAGUUGUCACCCAAAUGUCUGUCACUGUGCUUUCAAACAUUAAGAAGCACAGCAAAGUUGAAAUUGGAAUCCAAUGUCAGAUAUUUUGUUUAUUUAUACAACAGAUGGUGUUAUCACUGUGCUUUAUCUAAUAGCAGAAACAAAUGACCUGGAUUGGAGUUGAAAUUACAUUAAAAGUACAUGGUGCAAGCGAUCAAUGCCGUUUGAGAUUCUACGUAGCAGAUUAU
ensembl:lncRNA